GUCAACGGCCAUACCACCCUGAAAGCGCCCGAUCUUGUCUGAUCUUGGAAGCUAAGCAGGGUCAGGCCUGGUUAGUACUUGGAUGGGAGAAAAUCAGCAGGGUAAGCCUGGCAUGGUGCAUU
rnacentral:rRNA from 1 species